GACGAACGCUGGCGGCGUGCCUAAUACAUGCAAGUUGAGCGCUGAAGGUUGGUACUUGUACCAACUGGAUGAGCAGCGAACGGGUGAGUAACGCGUGGGGAAUCUGCCUUUGAGCGGGGGACAACAUUUGGAAACGAAUGCUAAUACCGCAUAAAAACUUUAAACACAAGUUUUAAGUUUGAAAGAUGCAAUUGCAUCACUCAAAGAUGAUCCCGCGUUGUAUUAGCUAGUUGGUGAGGUAAAGGCUCACCAAGGCGAUGAUACAUAGCCGACCUGAGAGGGUGAUCGGCCACAUUGGGACUGAGACACGGCCCAAACUCCUACGGGAGGCAGCAGUAGGGAAUCUUCGGCAAUAGACGAAAGUCUGACCGAGCAACGCCGCGUGAGUGAAGAAGGUUUUCGGAUCGUAAAACUCUGUUGGUAGAGAAGAACGUUGGUGAGAGUGGAAAGCUCAUCAAAUGACGGUAACUACCCAGAAAGGGACGGCUAACUACGUG
rnacentral:rRNA from 1 species